UAACGCGAAGAACCUUACCAAGGCUUGACAUACACCGGAAACGGUCAGAGAUGGUCGCCCCCUUGUGGUCGGUGUACAGGUGGUGCAUGGUUGUCGUCAGCUCGUGUCGUGAGAUGUUGGGUUAAGUCCCGCAACGAGCGCAACCCUCGUUCUAUGUUGCCAGCGCGUUAUGGCGGGGACUCAUAGGAGACUGCCGGGGUCAACUCGGAGGAAGGUGGGGAUGACGUCAAAUCAUCAUGCCCCUUAUGUCUUGGGCUUCACGCAUGCUACAAUGGCCGGUACAAAGGGCUGCGAUACCGUAAGGUGGAGCGAAUCCCAAAAAGCCGGUCUCAGUUCGGAUUGAGGUCUGCAACUCGACCUCAUGAAGUCGGAGUCGCUAGUAAUCGCAGAUCAGCA
rnacentral:rRNA from 1 species